CGUCCAUCCUGCAGACCUGACUCUGUGAACUUGAACUCUAUCCUGCCAAUGACUGGUAUAGAUAUCUCUAGGGGACAGUUACCCCAAGGCAGCUCUGUCUGGCUCUCCUUCAGAAGGCAUGUGUGGUGGUUUGAAUAGGAAUAGCAUCCACAGGCUCAGAACGAAAGUAUGGCCACUCAGGUGGCUGGACCAUUGCGGCCUUUGGCUGAGUUGCCCUGGAAGAGGUGUCAGACCAGCACAGUCAUGGGUGCACUGAACAGGUCAUCUCCACACAGUUUCCUUGUGGUGAUUAGUCGGGAGCAGGCACAGCCUCCUUGGAGACCGAGGCUAUCCACGAGACACUUUGGUGACUCAGAAGGACCUGAACGGAAGGGAAACUGCCAUGCAAAUAGAGAUUUUGUUUAAUUCUUGAAAGAAAACCCUCCAUUUAAGAAUAAACGAAAGCAAAAGCUUGAAACCAA
rnacentral:lncRNA from 1 species